rnacentral:lncRNA from 1 species
UUCUUAAUUGUUUCAUUUAGUUCUUUAAGAAAAGUUUUAUUUUUAUCUUUACUAGAUAAUUGAGCUACUUUUUAAGCAGAAUGCAAAUUGUCAAAAACUGGAGAAAUUAUUCCAAGAAAGAGAGAAAUGUUCUUCUCAAUCUUCAGAAGCAAAAAAUAUUGAGGAUAAUGUUGAAGCUUCUUUUAAAGAAGUUGGAUAUCAAACAGUUAAUCAAAAGUUUCAGCCAAAUUAAGAUUUGCCAAGAUAAUAUUUUUACAAUGUUGUUUAUAGAAAAUAUUAAAAAAACAACAAAAAAACAAAAAGAAAUUAGAAAAAUGCCAAUAUGUUACUGUUACAAAAUGUAUUUAUGCUUUUUCUUAAUGUGCAAUAUUGUUUCCCUAGGCUCUUCAAAAUAUGAAAUUUCUUUAUUUUGUAUAUAAAUAGCUUGUUAAAUAUAUAUAUAUAUAUAAAUUAUAAAAUGUAUAGUUUGUAAAUUGUAAUUUAAUAUUUUUUGUAGCCAUAAAGUAUGACUUUGUUUUUGUUAUGAUUUAAGAAUGAACAUUUUAAUAAUCACUGUAAAUAGAAUUGCAAUAUUACUUUUAUUCUGAAAUUUUUUUCUAACUAUUCAACUGUUAUUCAAGAAAAGGUUAUUUGUUAAUUUUUGAGGAGUGUUUUUAAUGUUUCAAAUUAUGAAAUAAUUAUAAAAUAACAUCCUCAUAUGUAUAAUCAAGGAUUCAAUGAAAGUCAUUCAUUUUUUGAUUCAGUUAGGAUGAAAUAUGUUUAUAUAUAUUCAUACCUAAACUAAAAUCAUCUUAAUAAAAUGCUAUUCUGAUGAGGCAGAUGGAUGGAUAAUAUCAGCAAGCAAUAUUUAUAUCUAUUUUUAUAAUUGAAUCCAUAUUGAAUUGGCAAUUCAGUAUAUUCUAUUGACUAAAUGUAAAAUCCAUUUACCAAUUCAAAACUAUUGAAACAAUAUUUUUUUUAUAGCAGUUAUAUUUAGACAUUUAAGAAAGUGCCAUUUGUUAAUAGCUAGUUUAGAAUUAUAGUAUUUAACAACAACAAAAUUGGUGGAUGAACAAUUUUAUAUUUUGUUGUCCAAAUGCUGCAGUUAGGUAAUUAUUACUGAUUACAGACUUAGUAUUUUGAAACUUUUUUUUUCUUUUAUUAAUUAAAUGUUAAUCAAUUUCCUAUUACUGUAUUCAAGAAUUUGAUAUAUCUAUAAAUAUAUAUGUAAAAGUUUACUCUCUCUAGAAUUUGAAUCAUAAGUAGAGAGCUGUUAUAAAAUAAGAACUAAACAGAAUUAAAAUUUUGAAGAUUUUUUUCAAAUUUUAUUUUUUUUUUUGAUGAUUCAAAUUUCUUUCUGUACAAAAAUAACAAUUUUUUUUUUACUUUUUAGUACACUAUGAAACAUUUAUUUAUUUCAUUACAUUUAGAGGAAAAGUUUUGAUGGAUGUUUGAUUUCUGCCCUCCCACAUCAUAAAAACAAAUAACACCCCUUAAAACAAAAAGAAACAAAAUAAAUAAAUAAAAACAAGUAAUAAAUGUUAAAAGACAUACAGUGCUUUUUUACAUUUAAAUUUAAAAUCAGUGAGAUCGAGAUGUAAAAAUCUAUCAAAAUUAUUAAGAUUUUGCAAUAUAUUGUAGAUCAUUACUAAGAUAGAUUUAGAGCAGGGCUUCUUAAACUAUAGGUCGCAACCCCAUUUGGGUCGCUUAGCGAAAUCUUGGGUCACGAGAUCUUAAUGCAAAAUAUUGAAAAUAAUUUGUGAGAGUUUGAAAAUGGCAAGCUCUGUGUCAUAGGUUUCGUGAGUUGCGCUUUUUGUUACUUCUGGUGCAGCGAGACAAUGAUUCAGCAACACUAAUUGUAAUGUGAACUAGUGUACUGUUGUCGCUUUUCAGUGUGUUCAGUUGUCUCUGUUCCAUUGUAACAUAAGAGUGAACUGUGGUAGUACACCAUUAUUGUUUUAGCAAAUUUGUAUAUAUCUUUGUGAUUUUUUUCACGACCCAAAAAAUAUAAAAUAAUCAUAAAUGGGGUUGUAAAUAAAAAAAAGUUUAAGAAGCCCUGAUUUAGACAAUAAAAAGGAGUAAAAACAUAAAUAAAUGAUUUUUCGAUGGCAUUUGGAGUAAAAGCCAAUCUUGAUAAAGAAGACCAUUAAAAUAUUUGUAAUAUAUUGACUGAUUAAAAUAUUUAAUUCUCUCAAAGAAAGAUGGGAAGUCCGGACAAAUUCUAGCAAUAUUAAGAGUCAACAGUGAAAGGCAAAUGACACAUUUUGUUAAACGUAAGAUACAGUCGACCCCCCUAUAAGAUAUAGAUACGUUCCAAUUUAUUAGGAAUCCGAUUUCUUACAAGUCGUUCCAAUCACAGCCCGACACGUGUCAAGUUUACGGACUACGGCUGACUGAAAGGUUUUCUUCCAUAAAAUUAAUCGAUUCUACACUAAUCCGACUCAACAUUUCCAAAAUACGUAUAUUUUUUCGUAGUUUUAUAGGAAUCGUAAUUAUAGGGGGUCGACUGUAUAUCUUAUUAAUAGCAGAAAUAA